rfam:Amborella trichopoda AMTR_V1.0_contig_20622, whole genome shotgun sequence.
GGGGAAAUAGUUCAGUUGGUUAGAGUGCUGAUCUGUCAUGCCGGAAGUCAUGGGUUCAUCUCCUUUUCUUCUCG